rnacentral:rRNA from 1 species
GUGCUUAACACAUGCAAGUCGAACGGAAAGGCCCUGCUUUUGUGGGGUGCUCGAGUGGCGAACGGGUGAGUAACACGUGAGUAACCUGCCCUUGACUUUGGGAUAACUUCAGGAAACUGGGGCUAAUACCGGAUAGGAGCUCCUGCUGCAUGGUGGGGGUUGGAAAGUUUCGGCGGUUGGGGAUGGACUCGCGGCUUAUCAGCUUGUUGGUGGGGUAGUGGCUUACCAAGGCUUUGACGGGUAGCCGGCCUGAGAGGGUGACCGGCCACAUUGGGACUGAGAUACGGCCCAGACUCCUACGGGAGGCAGCAGUGGGGAAUAUUGCACAAUGGGCGGAAGCCUGAUGCAGCAACGCCGCGUGCGGGAUGACGGCCUUCGGGUUGUAAACCGCUUUCGCCUGUGACGAAGCGUGAGUGACGGUAAUGGGUAAAGAAGCACCGGCUAACUACGU